GAAGGUAUAGCUCGGUGGUAGAGUGCAUGCCUACUGUGCAUGAGGUCCUGGGUUCAAUCCAGGUACUUCCA
rnacentral:tRNA from 1 species